rnacentral:lncRNA from 1 species
GCAAGACCCUGUCUCUAAAACAAUAACAUCAACUAAAACAAAAACCACGCAGAUUGCUGGACCCCAACCUAGAGUUUCUGAUCCAGUAGUAUUGGGGUGGGGCCUGAGAAUUUGCAUUUCUGACAAGUCCCCAGAUGAUGUUGAUCCUUAUUCUCCUGGCCCAUAGACCACUUAAUUAAAGCCAGCAAAGUAGUCAUCAACGUUGACCCAGGAUAUAAGCUGAAGAUGAUGAACAGCCUUGAGGCAGUAAGGGAGGCCUGCCCUCCAACAUCAGGAAGCCAAGUGAAGGCGUGACUCACCAGGGCAGGGUGGGGUUCCUGCGUGUGAGAAACCAGAAUUGAGAGCUGCACCAGCUGUGUGGCCCCAGGUUUCUCAGGGUGAGGAGAGGCAGCCCAGGGGAAAGGCACUCGGGACCACACCCCAACUCACCUACCCUGUAUAAUAAAAGAAGGCGUGCAAGAAGAUCUAUAUGCAGUGACGUGCAAAGGUAUCAAGAACAAGUUGCGAAACCCCAUGGUAUGAUUUCAUCUGAUUAAAAGAAAAAAGGUGGUAGGUGCUGAAUGGUUGAAUAAAUGAACAGUCCUAAAAUGGAUAUAUUUUGGGGCAACAGUAAGUUGCCCCCAGGAAGAAAAUCACUUUUGGAAAAUAAAACUGGCAAGAAUCUAUGCUAAAUGGAUGAGACCAGCCACAGAAGCACUUCAUCCUAAAAGAUGGUAAAGGUGGUGUAUACAAAAUUAGGCCGGGUGCAGUG